UUGAAAUGCAUUAAUCACACUAUUCGUAUAGUCAUGUGCUUUGAUAGUAAAAUAUCAAACGUUCAGGAAUCUGCAAGCUGAUUUUUAUCAUUUUAUUACUCCUUGUAACUUCAUGUUUACUGCAGAUUCUCAUGAUAAUUAAAUGUACAUAUUAUCCACCUUCAUAUCGCUAUGCCACAGUUGGCCAAUGGUUCAAGGGAAUUCUGCUGUCCAAUGACACAAGCUGUCAUGUAGCAGCAGGUCAAGAGAUGUUGGAGAAACACUAAAAAAAUGUUGCCACCAAGUUUCUGCAGCUGGAGUUUAAUGUUUUACUUUGACUUUUGGGAAUAAUUUACAUUGAAUCUUGAGAGUUUUCUAUUAUGCCAAACAUUGCAUUUCCCAUCUUCAGGGUAAAUGUACUGGGAAGACUGUCAAGGUAUUAUUCUGGCAUUUGCCUAGAGGGAUUAAGGAAAUCCACAAGAAACUCAGCGAGGACAGCUAGUUUCCACACUAAAACUGAACCUAGGAUCCCCACAAUAGACCAAUCAGCUAUAACAUUUUUCAUAGAAAAUAACUUACAUUUCCAGGGGAAAGAAGACAUAAGUUCAAGCCAUUAAUCAACACAUACAGAACACAACAAAACAGGACAAGACAUCCACAAGCAGGGAUGAGAUGGUGACUGUGUAGAGACAAGGUUGAAUUUAUUCAAGACAAUAACAACAAGGCAUAUGAUAAAGAGUGACAAAACAGAAGAUUAUCUGACAGAACAACUUCUAAUUCCACCACAAGGUUUGUAAAGUGGGGUCAAUUGAUAAGCCAGAUGAACAGAGGCUCCCAUGACCAUAUCAUAGCCAAACGAUCUGAUGAGGAU